rnacentral:rRNA from 1 species
ACUCAAAUGAAUAGACGGGGGCCCGCACAAGCGGUGGAGCAUGUGGUUCAAUUCGAAGCAACGCGCAGAACCUUACCAGCCCUUGACAUGUCCCGUAUGGACUUCAGAGAUGAGGUCCUUCAGUUCGGCUGGCGGGAACACAGGUGCUGCAUGGCUGUCGUCAGCUCGUGUCGUGAGAUGUUGGGUUAAGUCCCGCAACGAGCGCAACCCUCGCCCUUAGUUGCCACCAUUUAGUUGGGCACUCUAGGGGGACUGCCGGUGAUAAGCCGCGAGGAAGGUGGGGAUGACGUCAAGUCCUCAUGGCCCUUACGGGCUGGGCUACACACGUGCUACAAUGGCGGUGACAGUGAGCAGCUAACUCGCAAGAGUAUGCUAAUCUCAAAAAACCGUCUCAGUUCGGAUUGGGGUCUGCAACUCGACCCCAUGAAGUCGGAAUCGCUAGUAAUCGCAGAUCAGCACGCUGCGGUGAAUACGUUCCCGGGCCUUGUACACACCGCCCGU